GACGGGGACCCGCACAAGCGGUGGAGCAUGUGUUUAAUUCGAAGCAACGCGAAGAACCUUACCAGGUCUUGACAUCCCGAUGCUUAUUUCUAGAGAUAGAAAGUUACUUCGGUACAUCGGUGACAGGUGGUGCAUGGUUGUCGUCAGCUCGUGUCGUGAGAUGUUGGGUUAAGUCCCGCAACGAGCGCAACCCCUAUUGUUAGUUGCCAUCAUUCAGUUGGGCACUCUAGCGAGACUGCCGGUAAUAAACCGGAGGAAGUGGGGAUGACGUCAAAUCAUCAUGCCCCCUAUGACCUGGGCUACACACGUGCCUACAAUGGUUGGUACAACGAGUUGCGAGUCGGUGACGGCGAGCUAAUCUCUUAAAGCCAAUCUCAGUUCGGAUUGUAGGCUGCAACUCGCCUACAUGAAGUCGGAAUCGCUAGUAAUCGCGGAUCAGCACGCCGCGGUGAAUACGUUCCCGGGCCUU
rnacentral:rRNA from 1 species